UGACCNCCAAUCAGGUAAAAUUACCCGC
rnacentral:rRNA from 1 species